CCCGCCCACAGCCUAUCCCUGCCCGCAGCGCUCGCCCCGCCCACAGUCCCCCUGACCCGCUCCGCUGCCGGCUCCUCAGCCCCGCCCCUCCGCAGCGUAGCCCUGCUGUCCCGCCGCCCUGCUGCCCAGCUGACCUCCUGACCAGCCCGCUCUGCCCACUGGCAGAGGCCGCGGUGGGCCGCCUAGCACAAGCAGCUCCCAGGACCUGCGCUGCCUGACAGGCACAGUUCAAGGGGAGCGUAGGCUCAGGAGGAUACUAACGCGUCGCCCAGGAAGGUGAGGACUGCGUGAUGUCCCCUGUUCCACCGGGCGUCCGAUUCUGUCCCACCUCCUGUCCGACCGCACAAACCCUGUCUCUCGGCAGUGUGAGGGCUCUGUAUUCUGCGUUUAUGCUUCCAGCGAAUGCUUUUAUGGCUUUUAAAUUUACAUCCACUUUUUACCGUUUUGCAUACUCUUCAUUCUUUGUGUAGAUCUGGAUUUCCACCCGGUGCGUACUCCUGUCUGAAGAACUCCUUCUUUAGUAUUUAUUUUUGCACCAUUAAGCUGGCAACUAAUGCUUCAUCUUUUAUGUAUCCAAAAAUCUUUAUUUAUCUUCACAUUUGAAAGAAUUUACCACGCUCAAAUGCGGGGAGGUUAUAUAGACUACCAGUCUCAAGUCAGGCUGUAUGGCUUAUCAAUAAAUACUGAACUGCAUACGUUUUUUUUCCUUCAGUACUGCCCCUUGAACUCAGGGGUCCUCUACCACCGACCUACAUCCCCAACCCUUUUAAUUAAUUUAUUUAUUUUUGAAACAGUGUCCUGCUAAAUUGCUGAGACUGAACUCCAAUUUGCAAUCCUCCUUCCUCAGCCUAGAGUGAAGUUGCUGGGAUUACAGGCCUUCCAUAACAUACCCAAACUAAACUGGAUUCUUGUAAUUUGCUUUCAGGUCUCCCUACAACAACCUACAAUAAAUUCACCCUCAAUUAUUUAAUAAAUGUACAAGUAUUAGAA